AUAGUAGUGUCAGAGUUUGAUCCUGGCUCAGGAUGAACGCUAGCUAUAGGCUUAACACAUGCAAGUCGAGGGGAAACGGCAUGAGAUGCUUGCAUCUUAUGGACGUCGACCGGGCGUACGGGGUGAGUAACGCGUAUGCAACUUGCCUCUUAGUGGGGAAUAACCCGGAGAAAUCCGGACUAAUACCGCAUACACUUAGUUAUCCGCAUGGAUGAUUAAGGAAAGAUUUUAUUGCUAAGAGAUAGGCAUGCGUUCCAUUAGUUAGUUGGUGAGGUAACGGCUCACCAAGGCAUCGAUGGAUAGGGGAGCUGAGAGGCUUAUCCCCCACAUAGGAACUGAGACACGGUCCUA
rnacentral:rRNA from 1 species